rnacentral:rRNA from 1 species
CGGCGAGUGAAGAGGGAAGAGCUCAAAGUUGGAACCUGUUUGGCUUAGCUAAACCGGAUUGUAAACUGGAGAAGCGUUUUCCUGGCACGCCAGACUGAUAAGUCCUUUGGAACAGGGCAUCAUAGAGGGUGAGAAUCCCGUGAUCGGUCUGAGCAGAUGUCUUUUGUGAUACGCUUUCAAAGAGUCAGGUUGUUUGGGAAUGCAGCCUAAAUUGGGUGGUAAAUCUCACCUAAAGCUAAAUAUUGGCGAGAGACCGAUAGCGAACAAGUACCGUGAGGGAAAGAUGAAAAGAACUUUGAAAAGAGAGUUAAACAGUAUGUGAAAUUGUUGAAAGGGAACCGUUUGGAGUCAGACUGGCUUUGCCGUGAUCAAUCUGGGCUUUGGCCUUGAUGCACUGGCGGCAGAUGCCUGCCAUCGACAGUUUUGUCUGGAGGAAAAAACAAGUAGGAAUGUGGCCCCUCGGGGUGUUAUAGCCUAUUUGAAAAUACUCUGGAUGGGACUGAGGAACGCAGUGGAUGCUAUUAUGGCGAGUGUGCUAGGUGCUUUUGUUGAUAGAUGCUGGAAUUUCUGCUUCGGGUGGUGCCAGUGUCUAAAGAUAAAACUCACUUGGUAUAUCUUCUAUCCACUUAGGUUGAUGGCUUAAUGACUCUAAAUGA